CUCCUACGGGAGGCAGCAGUGGGAAUUUGCGCAAUGGGGGAAACCCUGACGUAGCAACGCCGCGUGGAGGAUGAAAUCCCUUGGGAUGUAAACUCCUUUCGAUAGGGAAGAUAAUGACGGUACCUACGACAAGAAGCCCGGCUAACUUCGUGCCGAGCCGCCGCGGUAAUUC
rnacentral:rRNA from 1 species